rnacentral:lncRNA from 1 species
UACAGAUCAUCUGACUUUGAACUAGGGCUUGUGUGCACUUCAAUUUCUAAAUCCUGGUUUAUUUUCCGUUUCUUUUCAGCACCCGAGUGGUCGACCUGAUCCGCCACAUGAACAGCACCAAGUAAAUGAACAAACUGAUGAAAGCAUGCAAAGAGUGAUGAAAGCAUGCAAAGAGAGUUGUGUUUCUUCCCCGGAAGUGCUUCCGAGAAUAAAUUUUUCUUAUCUGAUUGUCUAAAACCUAUAAUUGGUGUAAUGGUAUCGUAGUGGUUGGUUGAGCAUUGAGUGACUCAUAUUUUGUCAGGUCUAUGUGUUAUCGUUAAACUUUUAACGGUCAUUCUAUUUCAAAAGUUUUGCAUUUUGCAAUCUUUGACGCUCCAUUUCACUUCAUAGUUCCACGUCAUUUCUUCCUUCAUUUGGCUAUUUGGUUGUCGGCUUCUUUAUAGUUCCACGUCUUUUCUUCCUUCACUUAUUAACCGUUAGCUGCUGCUGUGGUUGAGAUGAGAUUACCAUCGAGAAGAGUACAGUGACUGGAUCACUGGAAGUGCAACUCAGGCACACAUUUAUUGUCACUCUAACCUUGUGUAGCCAAACAACUUCAGUGAUGGUAAUAUCUUAGGUAGUAUCUUGAUAAAAUGACACAAACAACUUCAGUGAUGGUAGUAUAUUUGCUGAAUGGACCACAAACAACUUCAGCGAUGUGGGAUGUCUCGGGUUUCUUCGAGGGGAUUCAACCAAGGUCUUGUUUGUUUUAGUGCCAAUCCAUGUAGAUUGAGCGGAAUUGCAUGAGUUUCAAUCUAUAGCAAGACAAAAAAAAUUCUUAAAAUUUUCUAAUUCCUUCCAAUCCAUGUGGGAUGAGAAUAACCAAAUAAGGCCUUAGGGCUAUUUUGGGAGCCAAAAAACCCGAAGAGAUUGAAGGAGCUAGAAUCAUCUGCUUAUUCAAAUUUGGAUAAGGAGAGGAUUUUAGCCCCUCCAAUCGUUAUCGGUUUUGUGCAAAUCCCUUGGGAAAAAAAGGAAACCCUUUGGGAAAAUGUGGUGUUUGUUUUCCUCCUAGAUUAUAUAUAAGUUGGAUUAUAGUAGAAGAUAAUAUGGUAAAAUAUCACUUUGUUUCCCUCCUUGAUUAUAUAAAUUGGAUUAUGGUGGAAGGGUAGUAGGGUAAAAAUAUCAUUUUGGGACUACAAAUAAGCUGAAAUAAACUUAGCAUUUCAACUUAUUUGUGAUUCUAAAGUGAUAUUUUAUCCUCCUACCAUUCCACCAUAAUCCAACUUAUAUAAUUUUGAAUGGAAACAAACAGGAUCUUAGUUGUAAAUAGUUUCUUAAGGGUAGGUGUAAGUGCUAAGGGCGAGGUGGAGUGAGAGGGGGAGGGGGCUUGAACCCCCGCACUUGUAUGUUUAGGGUGCUUCUUUUGAAAGCCGAGUUUUUCGUAGUGUAAAUUUAAAAGUAUAUUUGGAUCUGUUUUUAUCGGCUAUCAAAAGGAAGAACUUUGUAAAAGUUGGAGAAUGGAAGCCCUAACCCUAACCCCAACGUCACCACUCCUGACCCGCUCGUGGACAAAGUGCAGGUCGAUCUCUAUGUGCUUCAUGUGCUGAUGUUGCACGGGAUUGGUGGAGAAGUAGAUCGCGCUGACGUUGUCGUAGUAGACGAGGCUGGCGCAUUGGAGGGGGUGUAGAGCUCAUGGAGAAGCUGGCGUAGCCAGGAGGCCACUACUAUGCCGUUGGCCACAAUGCAGUACUCGGCCUGUACACUCGAGCGGGAGACGACGGGAUGCUUCUUGGCGGCCUAGGAGACGAGGUUGGCGCCCAAGAACACAACAUAACCAGUAGUGGAGCGACGCAUGUUAGGACAGCCAGCCCAGUCAGCGUUGGUGUAGACCAUGAGCAGGGCAUGCAGUUGGACAUGCCGGCCCGCUCCAGGAUGUCGAUGGCAUAUUGGCGCUGGUGGAGGAAGAUAUCCUGAGGCUGACGCUCAGCAGUGAUGCCACAAGGAAGUGGUGAAGGGGCCCCAGGUCCCUCAUGGCGAACUCCCACCGAAUGGCGACAAUCGUGCGUUGUAGAAGGUCAGUGGUGGAUGUCGUGAGCACAAUGUCGUCGACGUAGAGCAGGAGGUAGACGGUGUCGUCGCCGCACCGGUAGAUGAAUAGUGAUGUGUACGACUUGGCCUCAACGAAGCUGAUGGAGGCCAUGUAGGAGGCGAAGCGUCUGUAACAUGCCUGUGGCGCCUACUGAGGUUGUAUAGGGAGCGGUUCAGCUGACAUACUAGAUCUAGACGAGCGGCGUCGAUGAAGCUGGUGGGCUGGCUGCAGUAGACACUCUCCGUUAGAGUGUCGUGGAGGAAGGCAUUCUUGACAUCUAGCUGAUGGAUUGCCUAGUCCUGGGAGUGGGCGAGGGAGAGAACGGCUCAAACGGUGGCGAACUUCACGACGGUGCUAAAUGUCUCGUCGUAGUCUACUUUGGAGCGUUGGGUGAAGCAUCGAAGGACCCAACGGGCCUUGUAGCGGUCGAGGGAGCCAUUCGAGGCCAGCUUGUGACGAAAAAGCCACUUGUCAGUGAUCACAGUGGUGCCUGGUGGACGUAGCACCAGGUCUCAAGUGUGGUUGGCCAGUAGGGCCGCAUACUCCUCCUCAAUAGCGCGACGCUAGUGGGGGUCGGCGUGGGUGACGCGAACAGAGGAGGGGACCGGGGAGGCAUCCGGAGGAGUGGACGUCAUGUCAGCCGUUAGGAUCAGCCGGUCGACAGGGCGAAGAACACCGGUUGCGCGGCGAGUCACUAUGGGGUGGACGUGCUCGGGGUCACGGUGGAUAGCGACCGAGUGGUACAAAGGAGGCUCGGUGCGGGUCACCGAGGCGUCGAGAGCCGAGGGAGUGGCCCGCUCACGACGAUGGUAGACGAGGGUGGGGUACGCAAAGCGAGUUGCGCUCGUCAACGAGGUCGAGUCAACGGGAGCCGAGGGAGUGGCUCACCCGCAGCGGUGGUAGACAAGGGCAGGGUCGGCGAAGCGGGCUGCACUCGUUGAUGGGGCCGCACAUGGCACGAGAGGGGUCAACGAGUCACACGUGGCAGAGGCGGGGUCAACAGGGCCACAUGUGGUGUAGGAAGAGGCACGAACGAAGGCAUAGAGGUCGUGUGUGGCGCGAGUAGAGACAUGAGUGAAGGCGUCGAGGCCGCGCGUGGCAAGGGUAGAGACACUACCGGAGGCGUUGGAGCCGCGUGUGCAGCGGGCAACGGCGCAAGGCGAGCCACCGGAGGUGAGGGGGAACUGGAUCUGACUCAAGGAGAGAAUCGAGAUCAGUGGGUGGGGAGGAGCCAGCAAGGGGAAAUACUUCUUCGUUGAAAAUAACGUGAUGAGAGAUGAAUGUGCAAUGGGAGACGAGGUGAAGACAACGAUACCCCUUGUGGUCAGGAGAGUAACCGAGGAAGAGGUAGCGAGUGGUGCGAGGUGAUAGAUUAUGGGGAGCGGUGGCGGAAAUGUUGGGAUAGCAGGCACAACUGAACAUGUGAAGGUGGUCGUAAUAGGGGGCUAUGCCAUACAGGGCAAAGUGGGGAGUGUGGUGGCUCACCGCCUUCGAGGGGAUGCGGUUGAGGAGAUGUGUGGUGGUCUUUAGGGCCUCUGCCCAAAAGAUGGUAGGGAGAGACGCCUGAAAAAGGAGGCAUCAGAUCAUGUUGUUGGUGGUGCGAAUGAUGUGUUCGGUCUGGCCGUUCUGGGAGAGGUGUAGGGGCACAAGAGACGCAAAUGAACGCCAUGGGUGAGAAAGAAGGAUCUAGAGGUGUUGUUGUCAAACUCGCGGUCAUUGUCACACUGGAGGGCACGGAUCGGGCAACAAAACUGGGUGGCGACUGUGGUGGAACUGCCCGAAUUAUUCCGACUUAAGUGCCUAAGUCCCGCCUCAGAGGCUAGACCACACUUAAAUGGGAAUAACCCGCCAAUCCCUCGGAUCUAGUCCGACGAGGCCACUGACAGGAUCAAGUACCACAAUCUCACUCAAUGGUGAGUCACAGAGCAAAUACAAUAAAGCAUAAAACCAUACAUUAAGGAGUAUUAAACUUAUUACAUCAUCAUCGGAGUUUUAGCAAAAGUAGUCAUCAUUGUUUGAAGUGCAGCGGAAUAAAACUAACGGUAAAUAAACAGAGAGAUGGGGAAGCAUGUCCCAUCACUCCUCAUGCUCCUCCUCAGCCGAGGCAGGAUCCCAUUCGACUGUCCAACCCGGUGGCAAGAUGGACGGCCAAGUCACUCCAGCAACCAUGUCCUCCAGAGAACCUAUAAAAUUAUGCCACAAGCAAGGCUGAGUAUACUAAUACUCAGCUAGACUUACCCGGUGUGAGGAGUCUACUCCUCUACCUCUAGACAUGCAGCUGUUUGGCUGUGGGGUUUGGUUGCCAAAAGCACUAGCUGAGUUUAUAAAUCAAGUUUUAGCUUUGUCAAGAUUAAGUGUGACUCUCUUAAGACCAAAUGUGUACUAUCUACUCAUUCAUGGUAUCAAACAUAUUUAGCAAUCAACAUCUUGUGUCAACUCAUCACAUUUCCACUUGUUACUCAAUGCAGUACAAUGGAUCAAGCAGUUUCAUUAGCUGCGAGAAGUAGACGAUUCGAAUCGAGUUUUUAUCCUUGCAAGGUAAACCUAAACACACGACAUGUAGGGGCACUCCGUCCCCACACACAUCAACCGUCCCCAUCGAUUCCCCGUCAGCAGAUCAGGGCUCACCGCCUUGGCGUCCAGUGCAUCACUGACCCCGACUGUCAUCGUGCAGUGACCGCACUUGUACCCACCAUAACCGGAAUGGGAGACCACGUCUCAGGUCGUGUGAGGGGAUAUGUUCACUGCCAGGUUCACUCAGGUACUAGGCUUACCGAUUUACCAUAUUUCUCGGCAUGUGCUUAGUACGUUCAAUCGCUUGACACAGGUAUCCGCACGUUAAUCCUUAUUCCAAUUUCAUCUCGUAGACCACACAUCCCCAUGGAUCCGUGUCCACAGACCAACAUCAGUAUGAUAUGAAAGUGGGUACAAUCAAUGUCCUGACCUUGCGCGAGUGCUAGAAAAAUCACUCGACUUCUACCGAGAUCCCUAAUUAGUAAGCAGCUACUCGACCUAGCAUACUAGUAUCCAUCACAAAAGGAAUCCUGAGUUCAUUCAACUAUGGUUUCAGGCAACUCCUACACUUAAGUGCACAGUACAAACCUACAAACAAUAAGUGUAGUAAAAUAGUAUAUAUAAACGGUUAUGCAUAGAACCGGGGCUUGCCUUCCAAAGCUGGGGCAGGCAGAUCCUCUGGUGCAGGCUUUGGUGCUGGAUCCGGGGCUACCUCCUGAGCAGCUACUUGCUCCGGCACGAGGACGUACUCUCCGUCAGCGAGGUUGAAAUCUAUCGAAUGCAAUGAAUAAGAAUAUGCAUGCCAUGAUUAUGCAGGAUGUGGUAAACAUUAUGCUAAGUAAAAGAAAACUAAGUUAGUUUAGUAACUUAGGGUUUCUUGGUCUUACUUGGCUCUUGGUGGUGUAUGCUUAUCAACUUAGGUUUGGAGUUUUGUUAGGGAUAAGCAUAGUGGAUUUGUAAUUCCCUUAUAUAUUUCAGUGGACAAUUUAAAAGAAAGGGUUUUGCUGGUUGGGCUAGGGUGACACUAAUUUCCACUAUUAAUUUCCCCUUUUUCAUUUUCUAUUUAUGAAUUCUAGUGUGGGUUUGAACUACAACAGUGGUUUAACUUUUUCCAAAAAUUCUGUAAAAAUUACAGUGGGUUACUAUUGGUCACUAUAGUCUGUUCUAUGAAUUUGAGGUCCAGAAUAAAAAGAGUAUGCCUUGGACAAAAAUAACAAAAGUUGGGCAAAGGGGGUCACUUUGCACUACAACUUUAAACUAGGGGUGGGUUCUGUCCUAAGGGUCAUUUUUGUUGGUAUCUAACAGUAAUCACAUGCUUCUGUGCCAUAAAUCAAAGAAAGUUAAUUGGUGGUUAUUUAGUUGUGAUUUUCUAAAGUUUAAUGUCAAAAAGGCACUUUCUACUACCUUGUUAUUUGAAAAAUGUCAAACAGCAGAUUUCAUAUUUUUCCUAUGUUCUUAAUAAUAAAACAUUAAUUAUCCCAAGGUUUGGGGUGUUUUCACCAUGGGGUUAUUUUUCUAAGGUUUUUUCUAAGUUUUCCUUGUUUUCUUAAAAUAAAAGGUAUCCCAAUUAUUUUACACUAAACCAGAGUAUAAUAAGUUUUUCUAGUGAACUAUACUGAAUAAGUAGACUAACAAAAAAUGUGGGUGCUCCCUGGUUCUUUAUUUAAAUUACCUUUCCUAUUUUCUUUAACUUUAAGCACAAUGUGAAAUAAAUUGCAAACUCUACCUUAAUGGGGUAUACAGAGGGGUUUAUCAUUUUUAAACAGGUUAGGAAGUGAUUAGGUACUUCUCCAAAUUUUCUUAACCUCAGUCUAAUAGUGCAACUAUUUUUCCUCCUAUUAUUUAGCUUUUGGCCAAAUCAAUAUUUAAAUCAAGACCUUAAAGUUUUCUGUAACACUUUGGUUUUAUAUUUUUCUUAAGUAGUUUACAUUAUUUAAGAUCUGGCAAAAUUGGUUUGACUCGAUUUGGGUGAACAAAAUAGAAGAUAUGAAUUAUUCAAGUUCUGUUUGAAUUUAAAUCAGAUUAAAUAAAAGGUUUCCUGGAAAAACCACUUUGCAUCGAAGACCCUGGGUUCUUUCUAAACAAAUCCUCUCAGUUAUACCCCUGCGCUACUAUUCCCCCGAGUCACUGACAAUGCACAAAACCCCCUAGCCUAUUCUUCUUCUCCCCCGCGGUCCCUCCCCAGGUUUAAACAGUACCCGCGGAAAAGAAAAGGGCGGCGCGGCUUACCGGCGGCGAGAGAGGUCCGGUGAGGGGCGGGGCUGGCUUCGGGAGGUCCUGGCGGUCACAACGGUGUACGGCUCGACGGCGGAGGUGGCCGGAAUCGUCUGAUCCACGUGCGCAGGCGGGUGAUCUCGUCGGCGGCGGGUGUUCCGGCUAAACCACGACGAUCUAGUUCAAUCAAACGGCACGAUGAGCUCCACGGGGUGACGUAGAGGCUAUGUGCACAAGGAAUCGAAGAAUGGAGUAGAGGAUUACCCGGUCUAAGUUCACCGGCGGUCGGUCAAAGUCCGGCGACCGUGGACUGGCUUCUCCGACGAAGCAAAGUUCGAUUCCUUGCUCGGGGAGCUUCACCGAGGCGUGCAUAGUCUCUUCCAAGGGUCGGGCGUGGCUGGGAAGGGCUCUGUUGGCCGGUCUACGGUGGCAGGGGCUCGGGUGACCACGGGCACGCCGUGCACGGGGCAAACACCGGUGGUUUCGGGCUCCGGUGAGGUCGAGCGUGCGCGGGGGAGUACGGUCGACGCUUGAGGGUGAUUUAUAGGCGCGGGCGCGAGGAGGAGACGCGAGCGCGGCUUGGCAUGGCGCGGGGCGCGCGCGGGCGUGCUCUGGCGCGCGCAAAGCGCGUCGAACACGUGGAGGUGUUCUUCUGCCCAUGUUCAAAAGCUUGCUGAGAUCGCAUACGUGCGAAUCUUGGCAAAAAUCCGGCGCAGACCUCUUCCUAGCACCUAUGGCUAUCUCUUGUAUGUGAGUUCCAAGGGAAGAUAAACCCUAGGUCAGAAGAUAUGCGGACGCCAAAUCUGGCUUGUCUCCCUGCCCACUGCGCGACAAAAGUGAUGCCAAGACAUGUCAAAUUUCAAGGGCUCGGUCUCAACUUUUUCCAGUGGGUGCCUUAGGUGGUAUGCCACAUUUUUGGUAUAGAACUUAGGUGGUUUUGGUGCCAUCUACAAGGUGAACACGAUGGAUCUUUAGAUUAGGAGUAGAUUUGGACUUAGAGAGAAUUAGAGAGCUCUAGCUCUCUCUCUACUUAAGGAAUGGAUUUGGGGUUUCUUAAGGGGUCUUUUUGCAAUGUUUCCUCUCUAUAUUUGCGGAUUAAUAUGUUACUUAACUUUAGCGAAAGGUUAGGUCAUGAUUUGCACAUUUGCUUAAUCUCUCCCCCCCUUCAACCAAGGUUUUAGGAGAUAGGGGUUCAAGAGGGGUCUAUGGUUUACUCCCCUCUUGUCCAAUGUGAUAAGUGCACAAAAGCUUGGAUAAUGCUUUUAGGUCAUUAACUUUCUUGGUUAAUACAUGGUCUCCAAGAUUCUUAUGCUAUUCUCCUUAAGUUUCUUCCACAUGUGAUCACAGUCAUUAGUGCAUAGAUGUGCCAUAGCCAUGGUAACACUUGGGGUGUUACAACCCUCCCCCCUUAAAGGAAUCUCGUCCCGAGAUUUUAGGUAGAGUCCUCAGGAGGAGUGCCAAGAAGGUGUGUUGGUGUGUUGCUUCUUCUUAGAUUCAAAUUUCACUAGUUAACUGCUCUUCGAAUGUCAUUCUCUUUGCGACUUCAGAAGGAAGUCCUUUUUAAGUCAAAUCCACAACUUAGACUACCCUUAACUUCUAAGUUUUUCUUAUAUUUGUAUUCAAAGGGAAGGUGGGGGUGGGGUUUUGGGUUACGUACCGACUCCUUUGGGGUAGAAAGUCGGGGAAGCGAGAGCGUAGAAAAUCCUCAGUCUCCCAUGUAGCUUCUUCUAUUGAAUGGUGACUCCACUGAACCUUAUACAUUCUGAUCGACCUUGCCCGUGUUGAUCUCUCUUUCUGAUCCAAUACCUUGACGGGGUACUCUUGAUAGGACAAGUCUGGUUCUAUCUCAAUUUCUGGUUCAGGUAGCACUUCAGUGGGUAAGCGGACGCAUUUUCGCAACUGAGAUACAUGGAACACAUCAUGAACAGCUGACAUGUGGGGUGGCAACUUCAAUUGAUAUGCUACUGGCCCACAAUUUGCUUUGAUCUCAUAGGGUCCAAUGUAGCGAGAAGCUAACUUGCCCUUGAUCCCAAAUCUCUGGACACCCUUGGUGGGUGACACCUUAAGAUAAACAUGAUCUUCCACAUUAAACUGCAGAGGCUUCCUCCUCCUAUCAUGAUAGCUCUUUUGCCUGGCCUGAGUAGCUUCUAAGUUCUUCUUAAUGACUCUGACCUUUUCCUCUGCUUCAAGCACCAAAUCUGGCCCAAAUAUUUCCCUCUCUCCUGCUUGAGACCAAUUCAGCGGGGUUCUACAUCUUCUCCCAUAUACGGCUUCAAAAGGUGCCAUCUUCAAACUGGACUGAUAGCUGUUAUUAUAGGAGAAUUCCGCCAAAGAAAGACACUUGUCCCAAUUUUUACCAUAGUGUAGCACACAGGCUCGCAACAUGUCUUCAAGGAUUUGAUUUACUCUUUCUGUCUGGCCAUCUGUUUGAGGAUGGUAUGCUGAGCUUCGUAUUACAUGGGUCCCAAGUGAUUCUUGUAGCUGCUCCCAAAAGCGUGCCACAAACAGUGCUCCUCUGUCAGAUACAAUGGUCUUUGGAAUACCAUGCAAACGCACUAUUUGAUCAACAUAGAUUUCUGCAUAUUUCUCUAUCUUGUGGGUGGUAUGCACUGGUAAGAAAUGAGCGGUCUUGGUCAAUCUGUCCACAAUGACCCAAAUGGAAUCAUGGUGCCGGGAGGUAUUGGGCAAUCCCACGAUAAAGUCCAUGCAAAUGUCCUCCCAUUUCCAAGAUGGUAUGGGAAGGGGUUGCAAAGGGCCUGCUGCCUUCAAAUGACUGGCCUUGAUUCUCUGGCAGGUGUCACAUUCGGAUAUAUACUUGGCAAUUUCCCUCUUCAUUCUGGUCCACCAGUAUAAGGAUCUGAGAUCAUGAUACAUCUUGUUACUGCCGGGGUGCAUGGAGAAUUUUGAAAGGUGAGCUUCAUCCAAUAUCUUCUUUCUGAGCUCAGGGUCCUUGGGAACAACCAAUCGAUCUCCAAACCAUAAGAUUCCUCUGCUGUCCUACCAGAAGCAUUUGUAUUUCUCUGCUUUCUGCUUGAUCAUUUCCUUAAUAACCUGAACACCCUUGUCUUCAAUCUGUGCCCUGACUAUUUGCUCUUGUAAUGUGGGCUCCACCGAGAUAUAAUUCAAGGCACCUGAAGAAACAACUUCUAGGUUCAACUUGCACAACUCAUCACACAGGGUGGUGACUUUUGCAUCCAUGCUCAUACAGUUGCACUGGGCCUUUCUGCUCAAGGCAUCUGCCACAACAUUGGCUUUGCCAGGAUGGUAAUGCACCUCCAAAUCAUAGUCCUUGAUUAACUCUAACCAUCUUCUCUGCCCCAUAUUUAGAUCUGCCUGAGUGAAAAUGUAUUUGAGACUCUUAUGAUCAGUGUAAAUAUUACAGUGAGCUCCCAUCAAGUAAUGUCUCCAUAUCUUGAGAGCAUGAACCAUGGCUGCUAACUCCAGAUCAUGUGUAGGGUAGUUCUGCUCAUGAAGUCUGAGUGCUCGGGAGGCAUAAGCAAUUACUCUGUUAUCUUGCAUUAAGACGCAUCCCAAUCCAGUACCGGAAGCAUCGCAAUAAACUUCAAAGGGCUUGGUGUUAUCAGGUUGAGCUAGCACUGGGGCUGUUGUCAAAUGCUGCCUUAGUGUAUGAAAGGCAUCUUCACACUUCUGGCUCCAAUUAUACUUGACUCCCUUCUUCAACAAUUCAGUCAUUGGCUUGGCAAUUCUGGAGAAAUCCGGAAUAAAUCGUCGAUAAUACCCUGCCAAUCCCAGAAAACUCCGAAUCUGCCGCACUGUGGUAGGAGGUUUCCAAUCCAUUACUUCUUGUACCUUCUCAGGAUCAACUGAUAUCCCAUCCUGAGAAAUUGUGUGACCCAAGAAUUUAAUUUCCCUUAGCCAGAAUUCACAUUUAGACAACUUAGCAUAAAGACGAUGAUCGCGCAGUCGCUGAAGCACGAUGUGCAGAUGCUCAGUAUGCUCGUCUUCAUUCUUGGAAUAGACCAAGAUAUCAUCAAUGAAAACCACUACAAAUUUGUCCAGCUCUGGCAUGAAUACUGAGUUCAUCAGAUACAUGAAAUAAGCCGGGGCAUUGGUCAGCCCAAAAGACAUCACCAAAAACUCAUAGAGCCCAUAUCUGGUCGAGAAAGCUGUUUUCGGAAUAUCACUGGCACGGAUCUUGAUCUGAUGGUAGCCAGAGCGAAGGUCUAUCUUGGAGAAUACCUUGGCUCCCACCAACUGAUCAAACAAAACAUCAAUGCGGGGCAGUGGUUAUUUGUUCUUGAUAGUCACCGCAUUGAGAGGGCGGUAAUCAACACACAUUCUCAGACUCUCAUCCUUUUUCUUCACAAAUAAGGCCGGACAUCCCCACGGUGAAGUACUUGGGCGAAUGAACCCCUUGUCCAACAACUCUUGCAGUUGCUUUUUUAGUUCUGCCAAUUCCGCGGGAGGCAUCCUAUAUGGUCUCUUGGAGAUAGGAGCAGUCCCGGGUUGCAAUUCAAUUACGAACUCGAUGUCUCUAUCAGGUGGCAUCCCUGGCAAUUCAUCCGGAAAAACAUCUGGGUAGUUACAGACCACUGAGAUCCUUUCCACUGGGGAUUCUAUCAUAACGAAGGCACAAGAACGGGUACAACCCUGGUCGGGCAAAUAUAAUGUGGUCUCACCAUAGGUCGGUGAGUGCACUUCAAUGGCCCUAGCUGCAAUAUCCAUCGUGGCCUGAUGUUUGGUUAACAAGUCAGUUCCCAAUAUGAUAUCCACACUAUCCAAACCCAAAAUGAGGAGGUUGGUUUUGAUUAUCAAACUACCAAACUUUAUAGGCACAUUCCUGUUGAUUUGGUAGGUGGCAACCCUGCCUCCUGGUGUGGAAAUUGUAAUACCCCCAUUGGUGUGGUGAAAAGGUAAUUGACAUUUGGCACUAAAUUUGGUACUGAUAAAACUAUGUGAUGCACCAGAAUCGAAGAGAAUAAUAGCAGGAUAAUUCAAAACUGUAAAGAUACCAUUCAUGACGGGUGCUCCCUCUGGAAUGUCAGCCAUGGUGGUGAAGUUCAGCCUGCCUUGCCUCACUUGCACCUUCUGCCUCUUGCCUUGGUUCUGGUUAGCAUUCUGCCCCUGCCUCUACUGGUUCCUAGGGCAAUUCUUGGCAUAAUGUCCGGUGUUGCCACAAGUGAAGCACCUAUUGUCAUUUGCCUGACGAUAUUGCUGCUGCUAUUGAUUAUUCCUCUAAGCUGGAAACUGGGUGCCUGCUGCUGUGGUCGGAUCACCCAUCGCCCUUGCUGCUGCUGAGGUCCUCUGUUCUGAGUGUCAGACACGAUCCUGAAGCGCUGUGGCUGAGCUGAGGGUCCUGCCACAGGGGUCUUCCUCUUCUUCUCUGCCUGACGAGCUAUGAUACAGUCCUCCUAAGAAAUGACCAUGUUGACUAACUCAUUAUAGCUGUUGGCCCUGACUGUGUUGAGAUGGUCACGGAGCUUAGUGCUGAGCCCCCUCCUGAACCUGUCCCUCUUCUUCUCGUCCGUGUCUGCAUGAUACCCGGCAUACUGGCACAGGUCAUUGAAGGCCUGAGCAUACUAUAACAUUGUCCGAUUUCCCUGAGUGAGUGCCAGAAACUCAUUGAGCUUUCGGUCCAUAAUGCCUGCUGGUAUAUGGUGCCCCCUGAAAGCUGCCUUGAACUCUCUCCAUUCCACCUCUCGGUCAUCUGGCUGCACAGCAAGAAAAUGGUCCCACCAUGUCCGCGCGGGUCCACGAAGCUGCUGGGUGGCGAACCUGACCUUAGUGACCUCUGAACAACCUUCAUGGAGUAGCGGGAAUUUGGAUUCCACUACUCUCAACCAUACAUCCACAUCAAGUGGUUCCUCUGCCAUGGUGAACAAUGGUAGCUGGGUACUGAGGAAUUCUUGGUAAGUGGCUGCCGCGGGGUGACACUGAUGAUCACCACCACCAUAGUGCUGAGGUGGCGGCUGACGCUGAGCUAGCUGUCUCAAGAUCUCAUUUUGCUGAGCCAUCAGCUCCUACAGAGUAGGAGGCGGUGGCGGCGGUGGAGGAACGCGCUCAUUUUGACCACGACGCGCUCUCCCGGCCAUCUAAAAAAUCACAUAUAUUUUCAAUAACACAACUUUGAGGUUCAAGGUUCAAUCGCGGUGAAAGAGUAAAAAGGUGAAAUCCAUCUAUUCUUGCAUAAUCAUAAAAGAUUUCACAUGGCAUAAACUUUUCUUCUUAAAUUUAGACUACCAUCAUUCAUCAACCAUGCUUCCAAAAGAGUUUACCACGAUUACAUCAAUACCCCAAAAGACUCAACUCUAUCUAGCCUAGUACCCUAAGGGUGCAAAAGCUAAGCUAGCUUCGAGGAGUUCUAUCAUCACUGACUUCUAACUCUAUCCCUGCGACCUAGUGAGCAAACGAGGCAACACUCGACUCGGGGGAAGGUGGUCUCCCUGAGCCCGCAGUGUCCAAGCUGGAGGCAGGCUCCUCUCCUCCCUCGAUGUCGACAUCCUCAUUGGCCUCCAUGUCCUAGAUCUCCUAGUGAUGCAUAUCCAGGUGCUCGUUAGCUUCGGCAAGCUGCUACUGGGUGUUAAUUAACUGAUCCUCGAGAACCUCGAUGGUGUUCUCCCUUGUUCUCACUAGUUCCUCAAGCUCUUGGAUCUCAUUUGACAAUUGUUCCACUUGUAGGUCUUUUUCCACCAUCUCCGUGGAUAAGUCAACCACAAGCUCCUCUCUGUUAUCCAAGGUGAUCUUAGUUGCCUCCAACAAUGCCAUCAGAUGGGACAUUGCCUCACCACACAUCACUUGCAGACGGUACAUGGCAUUCAUGCACCGCACUGUCAAGUGAGCAGUCUGACCUGGGUAGAUAGCCCAGAUGUCCUUGGCAUGCUCCACUCGUGUCACACCCGGGUUUAGAAGGCAAACCGAAUGCGAACCAUGUACGUGCCAGGAUCAGUUAUUCACGUAUACAGCAGUUACAUAACAUGGACAUCAUCACACAGUGCUCAAAAUAGUAUAUUUAAAAGGGAAAUAAUAGUCGAUUACAUCAUACGUCUGAGACGUCCAUAUAGUCCUUACAAUAAAUCAAAGUGCGGAAAAGAAACGUAGAUAACCGCGGCCUUCACAGGCAGCCGACUGGGGGGUUGCCGCUAACCCACGCCUAGAACUCGUCGUAGUCUUGGAACUCCUGGAAGUCUCCUUCCACAGCUUCAUCUUCUCCUGAGCAGUGCUUGCAAUGCUGACAACCUAGGGAUGGGGGGGGGGUUUGGUGUGUAGAGCAAGGGUGAGUACACAUCAACAUACUCAGCAAGUAUCCCGUUUGGCUGUAGUGGACUAGCUUUAUGUGGGGAUAAGUCAAGCAGUUGCUUUUAGUUGGUCAGAUUAUUAUUUACUAAUAGAAAGCCAGGUUUUAGCAUUAACCCAAGUUAUUAGCCCGAUGUACCCUUUCCAAACGGAAAGAAUACCACUUACCAGCACCAUAGUCAUAACUAGAACCAUCAGUCUCAUUGCCACCUGUAAACCAAAAUGUCUUGGAUCAAGUACCACUAAUCACUGGAGCUCCCUUGGCCACUCAUAACCGCGAGCACGGCUGAUAUAUCAGUUUUCAAACACUCUGCAGAGGUUGUGCACUUUACCCACAAGUCGUGAUUCCCUUUCCGCCCGGAGGUCAUGACUCUCCAUUGAUCACUACCAAGGUGACCCAGCAGGGCAUCACUACGUAGCCUUUACAAAGAUUCCCCGGGGCUGUAGCCACCCGUUAGGUUUCCUAAAUGCACUGCACUCCUCACCAAGGGGCGAACCCAAACUUGGCAGAGCGAGCCGCAUACACCGAGCCCCAUUGACGGCACAACGGCUAAGCGAACUACACCCCGGAUCCUCUAAUUAUUCAGCUAAGGGCAUCCCAUUCCACCCUCAUGGUUGCACUGUUUUCCCGGGCGGUCAUCCAAAGAACAGGUCCUUACGGAGAGGCACUCGAGAAACCGCUCGAGCCCCCUUAAAGGCCACAAGUACAACAUCAUAAUAAGAGAAGGGAAAACAGCGUAUCGUAGAUAAUCUCAUCAUGUUCAUUGAUUAGAGUUUGAGCAAUAGCAUAAAGCUAAACAAUAAUAAUCCAACCCAAAUAGGUAAACAAGGAUAUGGAUAACAAAAGCUAGUCAAUCCUUAGGCAUAAAAGUGUAAUGCGGGAGGUGAAUUAAAGAAUGUAUAGGACAGAGAUAGGUCAAGGGACACUUGCCUCCACCAACCGACUGCUGCUCAGAGGCUUCUCCUGCGAGUUCCUCGGGCUCUUCAAUCGGAUCGUUCUCUAUGCGAUUGCAAGCAUACAUACAUCCAUCCAUUCAAAUUAGGGAACAAACAGUACACCAUACAAGAGAACAAAUAAAGUGAAUAUGCAUAGAAUAUCACAUACGAUAAUGAAUUUACCUUGGUUAGAAAGAAACGAGGGAAGGUCUCGCAGGGGUUAAGGCUUAUGCUCGAGGUGCACUACGGGUAAACGAAUAACUAGACGUCACGUGCUCUAGUUCCAAUUGGUUCUAACAAAAGAAUUAGCUACAUGCACUAAUGUAAGCGUGACCACUUUUAGUGGAUUAACAUUGAAUGAGUUAGACGAUUAGCUAUACAAAUUAACUAACGUAACCAAUUUCCAAAUUGAGACUCGUAUCUGUAACAUCCCAGGUGUUUAUAUUCCGCUCGACAACGAGUACAGAUUUAAGCAUGUAAUCAGUGGAUAAAACAGAUGCUAAAUUUUAAUCAUCUUCGUCUAUCGCGAUUUUAAUAUCGCAUCUGUUUCUGUCUAUUUAGACUCCUAAAAUUUUCGCGAAUUUCGGAACGUAAUUGUUCUGAAAGCUUGCGAACCUGUGCCCAAUUAAAAUCGCAUCUGUUUCGUCUGUCGCGAGGUCGACAUCAUUUUUUUAUC